rnacentral:rRNA from 1 species
ACCUACGGAGGCAGCAGUAGGGAAUCUUCCACAAUGGGCGAAAGCCUGAUGGAGCAACGCCGCGUGGGUGAGGAAGGUCUUCGGAUCGUAAAACCCUGUUGUUAGAGAAGAAAGUGCGUGAGAGUAACUGUUCACGUUUCGACGGUAUCUAACCAGAAAGCCACGGCUAACUACGUGCCAGCAGCCGCGGUAAUACGUAGGUGGCAAGCGUUAUCCGGAUUUAUUGGGCGUAAAGGGAACGCAGGCGGUCUUUUAAGUCUGAUGUGAAAGCCUUCGGCUUAACCGGAGUAGUGCAUUGGAAACUG